rnacentral:rRNA from 1 species
GACGAACGCUGGCGGCGUGCUUAAUACAUGCAAGUCGAACGGAAAGGCCCUGCUUUUGUGGGGUGCUCGAGUGGCGAACGGGUGAGUAACACGUGAGUAACCUGCCCUUGACUUUGGGAUAACUUCAGGAAACUGGGGCUAAUAUCGGAUAGGAGCUCCUGCUGCACGGGGGGGGAUGGAAAGUUUCGGCGGUUGGGGCUGGACUCGCGGCUUAUCAGCUUGUUGGUGGGGUAGUGGCGUACCAAGGCUUUGACGGGUAGCCGGCCUUAGAGGGUGACCGGCCACAUGGGGACUGCGAUACGGCCCAGACGCCUACGGUAGGCAGCAGUGGGGAAUAUUGCACAAUGGGCGGAAGCCUGAUGCAGCAACGCCGCGUGCGGGAUGACGGCCUUCGGGUUGUGAACCGCUUUCGCCUGUGACGAAGCGUGAGUGACGGUAAUGGGUAAAGAAGCACCGGCUAACUACGUG